UGCCGGAGAGAUAACCAGCUCAGUCGGUAGAGCGUGAGACUUUUAAUCUCAGGGUUGUGGGUUCAAAUCCCACAUUGGGCAA